UGCUGCCUCAAACACCCCUAAGCAUCUAUGUGUAUAGCUUUAAGGAAAUAGAUCUGCGGGAUCGAUUGAUGGUCAUAAAGUGCUGAAGAUUUGACUGAUACUGCAAAUAGACACUAAGUUAUAGGAGGAAUGAUGAGCCAGGCAAUGGAUAAAAUUGGACCAACUGCAGACCCGUUUCCAAAUAAUAAGCAACGUUUUACGAAUUGUCUUCUAGAAGGAACCGAGCCCAAGGAGAAUGUAUUCAGAGCCUAGAUGAGAAGGUGCUUCUAAAGGGACAUUUCGGAGUUAGCCUACAGACGCCAAGAUAGGCUCCAGCCAGAGUUGGACGUCUUGGUCACAUAAGCGGCCUGCAGGGAAGCUGCCUUGUAAUAGGUGCUUUUCUUUUACUGAAGCCAUUGUUCCUCCCUCCCCCAACCCCUUGGCUGCAUCCCUUCGGGGGAUUUCCAAGCAAUUUGAAGACUAACAAGAGAUGAAGGACUGAAUAAAAGAAUAAAGUUCUCAACAGAGGAAGAGAGGAAAAACAAUCCCGUGCUCCUCCAAAUUCAGACUCUUAGAUCCUAAUUCUGGCUCUGACAAUGACUUGCUGUGGAAACCAAGCAAAGGAACUCAAUUUCUUUCUGCUCCCUUUCUAAUCUGAGAACAAGGGCUAAACUGGCUCAGAGG